CUCAUUUAUUCCAGUUGAACUUGCCUUCUUUUGACAGAAGCUUCCAGGAGCAUGUGGUGGCUCCUGCAGGUCCCCUGGAUCAACCAGAGAAGCAAGCUUUUUCUUCCCCUGGAAAGAUGGACCAUUCCUGGAACCCAGUGCUCCAUCCAGGGAUGUAAGAGAACAGCGUCACGCCCAGGUCAUUGUAUCAAAAACUUCCUUGAGGGUUUGUGAGAAGUCCACCAGCAGGGUUCUGAGAAUUGUUCUGAGCCUGUGUUCCGGGAUGUGGCCGUGCCUCCUUUCCUAGCUGGUUUUAGUCACACCUUAUCUUCCUGUCUCAACUGGACAAUUGAGGAAACAAGAGGAGGUAUAGCCAUGCCAAAGGGAUGAAGUGGUAUUGUCAUAACACGCUACGGCACAGAUGAAUCUUCAAAGCAUUACGCUGAGUGGAAGGUAAAGGCUAUUCUGAAAUGACAUACAGAAAAGUGCUUGAAGCCUUUUGCCUGAAGAGGCAACAUUAGUCUUUGGAUGACCUGGUACUCAGCUGCUGGUGAUCUGGGGGUAAGCAAGAGAUGGGUUUUGUUCAUUGUUAACUGUUGAGCCCAUAAAAGGAAU